ensembl:lncRNA
CAGGAGAGCGAGAGUGGAGUCUCAAAGGAAAGCCUCACUCUGCAGCAACGUGCACCCCUUCAAUCUCACAGCCGAAAAGGAGAUGAAGAAAAUGAGAGGAUUGACAGGAUUUGGCAAACUUGGAAGGAUGGACAGCACAAGACGUUUAAUGGAGAAGAACCAGGAGGACGAGGUCAUACCGGACGGGCCCGAGCUGGCUCGCCCCAGCUGCGACACCUCGACCCAGAACCCUCAGAGCAACCACGAGGAAAGUGAGAGACGGAUCACAAGUGAGGAGGCGGCCGGACUUCUGUGCGUGGCCCCCGAUGCUUUGACCUCCGAGGCCGGACGCCCGCAGUCCGUCGUUGGCCUCAUAGAGGUGUUUCUGGAACAGCACUUCCCGAAGAUACCGGCCGACGUGGAGCAGAACUUAAGUCGCCACCUGCUGGAGGUGCAGGAGACGCUGCUCAGAGAGCUCGUGAGGUUGGCCCCCCGACUCCAUUCUGAGGGAUUGUUGGAAUGCUGCCACCAGCAGACAUUUAAACAUCUUGAUCAUCUACUUCGGAUCAUCCGCAUCCCCAGAGAAUUGUUAUUUCUGAUUAACUGGGUCCUACAUACAUAUCUGAGGUAUCUAUCUUUACUUGAUAAUCCAGUUUAUCUUACCAGGUAAACACGCUUGUAUUAGAAGAACACUUUUAUUUCUCCUGUUGUCGCGGUUUAAUUUGUGUUGCUGCAUCAUGACAAUCGACCUUUCCUGUAUCUGUUCAAACUAAAACCCCCCUCGUCCUGUUUCAGUGGUCAGUGAGUCUCUGGAGGUUAAACUGUGUUAUUUCAGAUACAGCUGCUGCCACCUAGUGGUGCUUCUAUGUCAGUACACAACCUGGACCUGAACACAUGUUCAGUAUUUACAUGUAUGUACAUGACAGCAACAUGCAUUCCUGUCAGUUAGCAUGCAACGGGAGGGGUAAUGGCAUUUAAGUAGUGAGAGGUGAGAGAAUGUACGUCGCCUUCUUGUUUAGACAAAUAUUAGGCUGCACAAACAAUGGGAACAGAGGUAGCCUAGCUUCAUGUGUCCAUAACUCACAAGUUAAAUCUUAUUUAAAUAACUGCUCUACAUCAUUACAUAGUUCCACGCAUGAUGCAUUGUAUACGGGGAUAGUUGUCAGUUUUACACUUUAGUAUUUUGGAUUAAACAAAGAAGAACAGCUGGUAGGCGGGUUUGUUGAUUACUGGUCAAAGCUAGGCUAACCGGUUCCCCC